rnacentral:rRNA from 1 species
GACGAACGCUGGCGGCGUGCUUAACACAUGCAAGUCGAGCGGUAAGGCCCUUUCGGGGGUACACGAGCGGCGAACGGGUGAGUAACACGUGGGUGACCUGCCCUCAGCUCUGGGAUAAGCCUGGGAAACCGGGUCUAAUACCGGAUAUGACUCCAUGACGCAUGUUGUGGGGUGGAAAGCCUUGUGCGGCUGAGGAUGGGCCCGCGGCCUAUCAGCUUGUUGGUGGGGUGAUGGCCUACCCAGGCGACGACGGGUAGCCGGCCUGAGAGGGCGACCGGCCACACUGGGACUGAGACACGGCCCAGACUCCUACGGGAGGCAGCAGUGGGGAAUCUUGCGCAAUGGGCGAAAGCCUGACGCAGCGACGCCGCGUGAGGGAUGAC